rnacentral:rRNA from 1 species
CCUACGGGGGGCAGCAGUGAGGAAUAUUGGUCAAUGGCCGCAGGGCUGAACCAGCCAAGUAGCGUGAGGGAUGACGGUCCUAUGGAUUGUAAACCUCUUUUGUCAGGGAGCAAAGGGCGCCACGUGUGGCGUUUUGCGAGUACCUGAAGAAAAAGCAUCGGCUAACUCCGUGCCAGCAGCCGCGGUAAUACGGAGGAUGCGAGCGUUAUCCGGAUUUAUUGGGUUUAAAGGGGGCGCAGGCGGAAUGUCAAGUGGGCGUGAAAAUUUCGGGGCACAACCCCGUCUUGCAGUGGAAACUGGCGUGCUGGAGUCAGCGAGAAGCAGGCGGAAGUCGUGGGGUAGCGGUGAAAUGCAUAGAUAUCACGAAGAACCCCGAUUGCGAAGGCAGCAUGCUGGAGCGGAACUGACGCUGAUGCUCGAAAGCGUGGGUAUCGAACAGGAUUAGAUACCCGUGUAGUC